GCGGCGCUGAGGCCCCGCGGCGGCGGCGGCGCUGCCGUGUUGACAGCGGCGGCCGCGCCGGGAGCUGCCCCGGGAAGCGGGUUGGCGGCGCCGGUUCUCCGCUCCCAUCUCAGCUAUGGCCUUCAUGGAGAAGCCGCCGGCCGGCAAGGUGCUGCUGGACGAUACGGUGCCGCUGACAGCGCAGAUCGAGGCGAGCCAGAGCCUGCACUCGCACACGGAGUACAUAAUCCGUGUCCAGAGAGGAGUUUCAACAGAAAACAGUUGGCAGAUUGUGAGGCGAUAUAGUGACUUUGACUUGUUGAAUAACAGCCUGCAGAUCUCAACUCUAAGUCUACCUCUUCCUCCAAAAAAGUUGAUUGGAAAUAUGGAGCGGGAAUUCAUUGCUGAAAGACAGAAGGGACUCCAGGCCUACCUGGAUGUGAUUACUGCCCAUCACAUACUGUCUAACUGUGAACUGGUAAAGAAAUUCUUGGACCCAAACAGCUAUUCUGUAAAUUAUACUGAAAUUGCCUUACAGCAUGUUUCAAUGUUCUUCCGAUCAGAGCCAAAGUGGGAAGUAGUUGAACCGUUAAAAGAUAUAGGUUGGCGAAUACGUAAGAAAUAUUUCUUAAUGAAAAUUAAGAAUCAACCAAAGGAACGGCUAGUGUUAAGCUGGGCUGAUCUUGGCCCUGAUAAAUACUUGUCUGACAGAGACUUACAGUAUGCUGUGAAACUUCUUUCUUCCUGUUCUCAUCCCUAUAUUUACAAAAUCACUUUUGCCAUUGCCAACGAAUCUUCAGCACUGGUUAUAAGACCAUUCAGUGAAAAAGGGACACUAAAGGACCUUAUUUAUAAGGCAAAGCCAAAAGACCCAUUCCUGAAGAAGUAUUGCAAUCCUAAAAAAAUUCAAGGUCUUGAACUUCAGCAAAUAAAAACAUAUGGAAGGCAAAUAUUAGAGGUAUUAAAAUUCCUCCAUGAGAAAGGAUUUCCUUAUGGCCAUCUUCACUCUGCCAAUGUGAUGCUGGAUGGGGAUACCUGCAAGUUACUGGAUCUAGAAAAUUCCUUGUUGGGACUUCCAUCAUUUUAUCGAUCGUACUUUUCACAGUUUCGGAAAAUUAAUACUUUAGAGGGUGUUGAUGUUCAUUGCUUUGGACACUUGCUGUAUGAAAUGACGUAUGGAAGACCUCCAGACACGAUUCCAGUGGAGAGCUUCCCCCCUGCUCCAUCAGUGUUUGUUGUGUCAGUGUUGGAGUCCAUUCUGACUUGUGAAGCUCUGAAGAAUGGGAUGCCAACUGUCUCACGGCUCUUACAGAUGCCAUUAUUCAGCGACGUCCUGCUAACAAACUCUGAGAAACCACAGUUUAAGAUUCCUACUAAGCUAAAAGAGGCAUUGAAAAUCUCCAAGGAAUGCAUAGAAAAGCGAUUAACAGAAGAACAGAAAUUGAUUCACCAGCACAGAAGGUUGACAAGAGCUCAAUCUCAUCAUGGCUCUGAAGAAGAAAAAAAGAAAAGGAAGAUCUUGGCACGAAAAAAGUCAAAGCGCUCUGCCAAUGAAAGUGGGGAAGAACACUCAGCCAAAUACAGCAACUCAAAUAACUCAGCAGGCUCUGGGGCGAGUUCCCCUUUAACAUCUCCAUCAUCCCCCACUCCACCCUCCACAGCAGGUAUGUUCAAGAAUCAUUACAGUUUUUAUCUUUUUUAUGUUGUUUUUUUAUCCCCUCUGCCCCUCAGCGGAGGUGUUAUUAAUCCCAGGAUGAUCAAGAGAUGAUGUUUUUCAAGGAUGGAGCACCGAGAUGUCAGUUACCUUGUGGCAGCCUGAGUGUGGGCAUGUGCUAUUUUCUGAGGUCACAGAGAACCUAUUUUAUAACUAUAACCUUUCUGAGAUACACAUGGCAUGAUUUACCCAGGGUGUACCUGCUUGCUUCAAAGUCUGUAUUACUCCAGGCCUACCCACAUUGCAACUUUCUAGGCAUUUUUUUUGGGCCUCAUGUUGCAGUAUACAUUUGUUUUGGUGUUAAUGGUCUGUUGACUCUGAAAUACUGCUUGUUCAUCCCUUGUUUCUUCGUUCUUUUUAUUCCUGUACUGCUGUGAUUUAUUUUCAGGAAUUUUAGGUGUGACAAAUUUGGUGGCUUAAGCUUCAUAAAUCUCCCCAGUUCUGCUACACACCAUUGAUAACCCAGUAGAGUUUGUAGAAAAAAAAUCUAGAAACAAGACAGAUUUGGGUAAAAAUAGUAUCUUUAUUAUUUUUGGCCAGUUAUGUUUUUCAGUUUACUGGGUGGCUGUGCAGAGAGUUUUGCUAAUGUUUAAGACAGGGGUGGGAAGUGGUGAAGAAUUUGAUUGAGUGGGCAAUAGAAAUACUCUGAAAGUUUAAUUACAAAUCUGAAUAUUGAGGAGUAGUGGAUAUGCUUCAGUCUAAAAGACUGGUAGAGGAACACUGGCCAAUAUUAAUAGUAAAAGAUAUUAACAGAAUACAUUUCUAGAGGGGAAGCAGCCCAUGGCAUUGCCAUUUUUAAUGGUGACUCUUGCCGUAGGAUUUCUAGUCCCAGGAACUUUCUCCAUAGCACAAGUCAUUAACCAAAGCAAUGAAAUCAAAUUUGUCUUUGCUGUGCAUAGUUUUUCAAAGGACACUGCAGUCUGUGUGAUGUAAUUCAAAUCAGUCAUGCUGAAAUUCAAAUUAGUAAUUUCUCCUUCAAGUUGAGGGCAUGAGAAGUGUGUAUUGUAGGGACUAACCCAGUUAACCUAAGCAAGAUAAUGACUGUUACUGUGCUAUUCUCUGGAUGCACUGACUGUGAUCUAGAGAAUUUGUUGCCAGUCCUGCCAGGGCUUCCAUAAGGAUGUAGCUGAAACGUGGCUCCAAAAUGGACAGAUGUAUAGAAAGCAUUUUUUCCCCUAUAAAACUACUGCUUAGUUAUGUUCUGACUUGGACUUGUUGGAACUUGGUUGAAAGCUUUUUCAAGUUUUAAGCAUGAGAUGCAGGUUUAUGUGCAGAUGUGGAUCAAAAUAGCUCAGGUUGGUGCUCAAAGCUCGUCUCAGUCCAAACCAUAUUGUCACAGUGUGUCUGUUGGCCAUCUUGUGGCAGUGUGCUCCUGAUGACUUGUGGGGAUCAGCCCUGUCUGACAUGGUGCUUGUACCCAUCCUCACACUGGAGGUGCCUUAGUGAGCCAGUGGCUUGGAUGCUGUUUAUGAGGUGUAAAGCCAAGUGUCACAUGUUCAGGAAUGCUUUUGUGAGUAGAAUUUGUAGAAGAAAUUUCAGAUAUUAAUUCUGAGAGAAAACUAGAUUUUUUUUUUUCACCAGCGGUGUUGUAGUUUUAGCUGUUCUAAGCAAGUCUGCUUUUACUGCCUUGAGGAAAGACACACUGGUCCCAUGGUAGGACCUUGUUUGUGACAAGUGAUGCAUCUGUAGCUUGCAUUUCUCUCUUCUAAUUUCCUUGUACUUACUAAGGAUAUUUACCUCUGUACCAAAAUUGCUCGUGGGUGUCAGUGUGGUGAGAUGAUUCUAAAAAAGGCAUUGAGGCUUUCAGUCUGUCUAGUUUGGUAUGGCUGUGUUAGAAGUGGGGCCUCUCAGAGCAUCCUGCUGAUACAAUACCACAGCAGAACUAAGGCUGGUGGGGAAAAGUGCCCCCAAGAGAAGCGUCUGCUCUCAUCCUGGCCUGUAACUGGUCAUACAUAGUGUGGGUGUGUGCAGAGAGAGAGACACUGACCAAAAUGGGAACGGGCUCCAGGCUGACAUGCCUGGGGAAGGAACCUCAUGCAGGGGGUUUCUUACAUGUUGAGAGGUUCUUUGUCCCUGAACAAAAGCCCUGCGAGGCUUGGCUUGCAGCAGAGUGCUUGGGAGAAUUGAUGGAAAACAGACUGAGGAAUAAAACGAUGGUUGGCUUCUGCUGUCUUAUGGCAGCUGCAGCUGUAGGACUGAGAGCACGGCCUGCUCUGAGGGGAAGGGUGCCUCUGGAGAUGUAGGCUCUUAUGGGCUGUUCUCACUGCUGAGAACCUUUUGGGCUGGUGGUGUUGCAGGUACUUGGCUAAAUAACAUAUUUGAAAUACAUUGUUAGAUCAUGCAAGUGACUCUAAUGUAACAUCCCGUGUUUCUAACAUUCUCCCGGUGUGGUUCUUUUUUUCCUCCACAAUUCUUUGCUUCUGCUGGGAAAAUCCAUUCAUUUUCUUUGUGGCUGUGAGCAGUGGCUAGGAUCAGAAGGGGUGCAGAACAGUGUGGUAUGGGUUAUUUAACAUUUCACUGAAUAUUUUCUUAAUCAGAUAAGCCUGUAAGAUGCAGCAAGAUCUUUCAACAGAGAACAAUUUGGAGAGUGUCACUUUUGCUUCUCUGGACUUCCCUGUAGGAAUAGUUAAAGAAUUGAACUUAACAAUCUUUUUCUGUGCCAGUUGUUCUGAAUCCUUCAGUAUGACAUAUGUUUCAUUGGCAGCCAUAUGGUGCAUGUUUCCUGCCCCUCACCUUCCUGUAAAACAGUUGGAAUGCUUUAGGAAGUGCUUUUCCUGAGUGUCUCUGACCACAAGUGUGAAUACAGGUGUUAAUACAGCAGGAAGUGUUUCUUGAACUGAAUGGAUUUCGUCUUCUGUGGCUAAUCUUUCUGCAGAUUUCUUUCUAAAUCUCUCAAAAUGCACUUUAAUCCUGUAGAGCUUGAAUUAUGGCAUGUGCAACCGAAAGCAUGUAUGUUGUAUUUGUUGAUCAAGUAUAAUAAUGUUUAGAGCAUGGAAAAUUGUGGUUCACUUUUCAGAAUUGAAUGAAGUAUUUUAAAUGUAAUAUGAAAUAGUCAACUUACUGUCCUCAUAUUUGUCAGUGAGUAAGAAUGUAUUGACUUCUGUACUAACUUUUCAGCUAACAGUAUGUUUUUCUUACUUUGACACGAGAACUGGAUGAUUAACUUGUGUCCUCUCUUUUUCUCUGCUGUCUUCAAUAGAGCAUGCAUCAUUUUGAACGUGAAUUUUCAGAAAAGCAUCAAGUUUACAGCAUCUGAUUUACUUCCUAUUCCUUUUAACACACUCUUUUAACAAAAAUGUCCCUGUAAAAACCCUUGGUAAGUUCUUGUUUGAGUGUUUUAUUCUUAAAACUGCAUGAAUGAAUAAAAUGUGUGUUUGCAGGCAAUGUCCCUCAACAUAUGUAUUGGAAGGGCCUAGUAAUAGCUAAGUAUUUGUCUCAAAUGGUUUUUCUAGCAAAUAGAGGAAAAUAUUUCAUUGUAGGGCAGAACAAUUUCAUCUGUAGAUGUAAAUGUAUAUGAAUGCAUGUGUGUGAACUAAGAUUUCUUUUGCACCACUCGUGUCAAGAAGGGAAGGACAGCUUGGUGUUGAUGACCUAACUGAAGUGAAUGGAUUUGAAGAUUUUUGAAUCAUGCUCUUAAUUAACAGGUUCAGUAUGUAAUGCCCAUAACUAGUGAGAUGUCAUUCUGAACCCUGCAUGUAUUUAUGUCUUACAGCAGAGCUCAAGUGUAAGGGUGUAAUUCUCUGUUAUCAGUUUCGCAAGAGUUUAACUACAUGAUAGUGUAAACAGCUCAAUUUCAAUAAUAGCGAGUCCUGAGGAAUGUUACAAUUUCCAGGAAGAAAGGUGAUCUCUGCCCCUACUUUCCUGUCUUUUCUACUCCUGUAAAAUAACCAGGCCAAAAGUUGAAGAUAAGACAUGGAAUCUUGGCUACUAAUACCUUGGGAUCCAAGCAUUUUGUGUCUGUUUUCCCCUGUGUGUGUCAAACAUGUGCCCUCUUUCACCACGUUACCACUGUAUUUGUAUUCCCUGGCCACUGCUUUCAUGGUCAUUCCCUAUUGCACCUUGUGCAACUACUUGCAUAGUCUCUUUCACCUUGCAUUCCAGACAAAAAUCUUGUCUUUGUUUCUGCAGUUCUUGCAUCUCUUUGAUGCCAUUUCUUUUGUGUUUCGCUGCUCUUGGUGCUUUCAGAGCAGUUUACCUGAUCUGUUUGGAGGUAAGCUGGUGCAGGGUCCUGCCCUGACCACUUCAACCACUAAAUGGGUACUUGGACUGUUCUUGGUCUUGUUCUUCCUUUGGCCAAGUUUUUCUCUCCUGGCCUCCUUCCACAAGAGAAACAGGGCUCUAAUGCUGGGAUUGUUUUGUCAGCAUUUCUAACCGUAAAUUGAUGUACGUCUUUGGCAAGUGUAAAAAGCAGAUUUGUCUAAGUUAGAAGGCCCCACUAUGCAAUUUAUUUCAGUUUGUGCUGCCAUUGUGUAAAGUCUUGGUUACUUCAGAAAGCAGUUGAUCUACAUGCAACAGGCAGAUUAAACUGUUUCAGUUGAUCUCUGGUAUUUCUAUUAGAACUUGAGUAUUUCCUCUGGAAAGAAAGAGAGUGAAGAUGAGCUCAGUGUGUACUUCAAAGCUUUGUUUUCACAGAAGGCUUUCAUGCCAAUGAGAAUUUCUCCUGAAGAGCUGGAAGAGCUACAGUCACAGCACAUAUAAAUGUAUACUGGCAAAAUUGAAUGCUUUAUGUGAAUACUCUGCAUUUUGAGCUUGCUCUCAUAUGGGAAAAGUCUUUCUUCAAAGACUGGUAUGGAUAGAAAAUGAGAGUUUUGAAUUAUGUCUUUUAUCUAGUAUAACUGCUUGUUUUAAUAACACCAGUUCUGUUUUUACUGUUGUUAGCCUAAAAACAAUUGUUGAUAAGGAAUUGAGAGACAAAUGGAGCAUGGAGAACUUUUAUCUGCUUUUUUUCUGUAGCUGAGCUUUAUCCUUCAUCAAAUCUCUUUUGAGUCAGUGGCAUAAUGUUAGAUAAUUACUUGAAUUUGCUCACUUCUACCAAGCAGUUCUACUUCAGGAACAACAGUCUCUUGGUUGCCUUAAUGUUGUUUUACCUUGCCCAGUAUCACAGUUCUUGCUACUUACCAGUAUAUUCCUCUUUGUAGGUCAGAGCUACUGGAAGCAAGUGUUAAUAGGUGUCAUUUGUCUCUUCAGUCUUCCUAUGGCAUAACUCAUGCUCUAGUUCAGAUUCGCUGCUGAGUAGUACCAGGAUAUUAAUAAUUAUGGUCCUACUCCUUCCAAAAUAUGAAACAAGAUAGGCCCAUUAUUAUUUGACUUGAGUAGCAGAGCUGCACAAGAUCAGGGUGCUUGGGAGAGUGCCUGGGGUAAAAGAGGGAAGCCACUUGCCUGGAUGGGAACUGCCAGGAAACAGCUCCAUGCAGGCCCUCACUGCUGGACCAGCUGCAUGUUCCACUGUGGGCUCUGGCUUCCCAGGGAGUCAGGGUGUGGAGGCUGAGGUUGCAUGUGAAGCAGAAAGUGGAUGUGGCUGGCACAGAGAGCAAGGGACAGAGUACAAAGGUGGCUGGUGGGAACAGGAGAGGCAGGCUGGAGGUGUGUGUGACAGUGUUGUGAUUCAUUUAGUCUGUCAAAGCAACCAUGUGUUACAACAUAUUUGGAGAAAGUCAACCAGAACUUUGGAAGUGUAGAACACUUUCAGAAAACUCUAUCUGCAGUUACGACUGUAGAACUGAAGUAUAAUCUGGCCAAGCGAAAUGGUCAUCACAGAUACUACAGUGAUGUGGUUCUUCAUUCAUAGGAAUGUCAAGUGAGUUAUGUAAGUAAGAACAGGUAGUAAAAUUUGCUUCCAGUCUUCGUUACUGUUCAUAUCCCAAAGAACAAACUGCCUCACUAGGGACAAAAAGGAGAAGCUGAAUCUGGGAAGUCCCGUUCAGCAAUCUCUGUUUUCCUUGGUGCAUGAUCACACAUGAGUCAUGUUUUGCAUCUGAGUCCUGAGGCCCUUCAGGCUUCAUUUCAGAGGCAUCUCAGAUGACAUGACUCACCUGCAGAUAGAGGGAUUUGAUCACUUCGGCAUUUUCCAUCUGUUCUGUUCUUCACACUCCACUGGCAUUCAGGGGAUGAUGGGACUAAUCCAGCCAAGCAGCCGCAGGCCUCUGGGGCAGGACAUCCCUGGCAUAAUCAAACUCCCCCUUCUCUCCCCACCUUCUCAGGAGCAUCGUCCAUCCCCCCAGCGCCGCCCCCGCCGCCCCCGCCGCCAGCAGCUCCUCCCCCGAGCACAGAGGUGCCCGCGGCGCGGCCCGAGCUCAGCGCAGGCCGGGGAGCCUUGCUCAGCUCCAUUCAAAA